UAUUCUGCAUAAAUAGUUUCAAUGGUUCAGAUCAGAUCCUAGGAUUUUGAAUUUAGGAUUUUGUAGAAAUUAAGUUUUAGAUCUAAAUUCUACAAAAACAUAUAUAUCACAUAUAUAAAUUCUAGAUCUAAAACAAAUCAAAACUACAUAUCUAAUAUAUGUAUCAUAGGAUCAAAAUCUAAAACAUAAAAUACAAAUAAUUUCUAUUCAUGAUUCUUCUUUAUGGGAUAUAAUCAUGAGCGGCACCUCUACACGUCAUAAGAGAACCCAUCAAAGGGACA
rnacentral:lncRNA from 1 species